rnacentral:rRNA from 1 species
ACGAACGCUGGCGGCGUGCCUAAUACAUGCAAGUAGAACGCUGAAGAGAGGAGCUUGCUCUUCUUGGAUGAGUUGCGAACGGGUGAGUAACGCGUAGGUAACCUGCCUUGUAGCGGGGGAUAACUAUUGGAAACGAUAGCUAAUACCGCAUAACAAUGGAUGACACAUGUCAUUUAUUUGAAAGGGGCAAUUGCUCCACUACAAGAUGGACCUGCGUUGUAUUAGCUAGUAGGUGAGGUAAUGGCUCACCUAGGCGACGAUACAUAGCCGACCUGAGAGGGUGAUCGGCCACACUGGGACUGAGACACGGCCCAGACUCCUACGGGAGGCAGCAGUAGGGAAUCUUCGGCAAUGGGGGCAACCCUGACCGAGCAACGCCGCGUGAGUGAAGAAGGUUUUCGGAUCGUAAAGCUCUGUUGUAAGUCAAGAACGGGUGUGAGAGUGGAAAGUUCACACUGUGACGGUAGCUUACCAGAAAGGGACGGCUAACUACGUGCCAGCAGCCGCGGUAAUACGUAGGUCCCGAGCGUUGUCCGGAUUUAUUGGGCGUAAAGCGAGCGCAGGCGGUUUGAUAAGUCUGAAGUUAAAGGCUGUGGCUCAACCAUAGUUCGCUUUGGAAACUGUCAAACUUGAGUGCAGAAGGGGAGAGUGGAAUUCCAUGUGUAGCGGUGAAAUGCGUAGAUAUAUGGAGGAACACCGGUGGCGAAAGCGGCUCUCUGGUCUGUAACUGACGCUGAGGCUCGAAAGCGUGGGGAGCGAACAGGAUUAGAUGCCCUGGUAGUCCACGCCGUAAACGAUGAGUGCUAGGUGUUGGAUCCUUUCCGGGAUUCAGUGCCGCAGCUAACGCAUUAAGCACUCCGCCUGGGGAGUACGACCGCAAGGUUGAAACUCAAAGGAAUUGACGGGGGCCCGCACAAGCGGUGGAGCAUGUGGUUUAAUUCGAAGCAACGCGAAGAACCUUACCAGGUCUUGACAUCCCGAUGCUAUUUCUAGAGAUAGAAAGUUACUUCGGUACAUCGGUGACAGGUGGUGCAUGGUUGUCGUCAGCUCGUGUCGUGAGAUGUUGGGUUAAGUCCCGCAACGAGCGCAACCCCUAUUGUUAGUUGCCAUCAUUCAGUUGGGCACUCUAGCGAGACUGCCGGUAAUAAACCGGAGGAAGGUGGGGAUGACGUCAAAUCAUCAUGCCCCUUAUGACCUGGGCUACACACGUGCUACAAUGGUUGGUACAACGAGUUGCGAGUCGGUGACGGCGAGCUAAUCUCUUAAAGCCAAUCUCAGUUCGGAUUGUAGGCUGCAACUCGCCUACAUGAAGUCGGAAUCGCUAGUAAUCGCGGAUCAGCACGCCGCGGUGAAUACGUUCCCGGGCCUUGUACACACCGCCCGUCACACCACGAGAGUUUGUAACACCCGAAGUCGGUGAGGUAACCUUUUGGAGCCAGCCGCCUAAGGUGGGACAGAUGAUUGGGGUG